UUAUCGGGGAAGGAUUAGCCCGCGUUGGAUUAGCUAGUUGGUGGGGUAAAGGCCUACCAAGGCGACGAUCCAUAGCUGGUCUGAGAGGAUGAUCAGCCACAUUGGGACUGAGACACGGCCCAAACUCAUACGGGAGGCAGCAGUGGGGAAUAUUGGACAAUGGGCGCAAGCCUGAUCCAGCCAUGCCGCGUGAGUGAUGAAGGCCUUAGGGUUGUAAAGCUCUUUCACCGGAGAAGAUAAUGACGGUAUCCGGAGAAGAAGCCCCGGCUAACUUCGUGCCAGCAGCCGCGGUAAUACGAAGGGGGCUAGCGUUGUUCGGAAUUACUGGGCGUAAAGCGCACGUAGGCGGAUA
rnacentral:rRNA from 1 species